rnacentral:rRNA from 1 species
GAUGAACGCUGGCGGCGUGCCUAAUACAUGCAAGUCGAGCGAACAGAUGAGGAGCUUGCUCCUCUGACGUUAGCGGCGGACGGGUGAGUAACACGUGGAUAACCUACCUAUAAGACUGGGAUAACUUCGGGAAACCGGAGCUAAUACCGGAUAAUAUAUUGAACCGCAUGGUUCAAUAGUGAAAGACGGUUUUGCUGUCACUUAUAGAUGGAUCCGCGCCGCAUUAGCUAGUUGGUAAGGUAACGGCUUACCAAGGCGACGAUGCGUAGCCGACCUGAGAGGGUGAUCGGCCACACUGGAACUGAGACACGGUCCAGACUCCUACGGGAGGCAGCAGUAGGGAAUCUUCCGCAAUGGGCGAAAGCCUGACGGAGCAACGCCGCGUGAGUGAUGAAGGUCUUCGGAUCGUAAAACUCUGUUAUUAGGGAAGAACAAAUGUGUAAGUAACUAUGCACGUCUUGACGGUACCUAAUCAGAAAGCCACGGCUAACUUCGUG